CCUACGGGAGGUAGCAGUGGGGAAUUUUGGACAAUGGGCGCAAGCCUGAUCCAGCAAUGCCGCGUGAGUGAAGAAGGCCUUCGGGUUGUAAAGCUCUUUUGUCAGGGAAGAAACGGUCUACUCUAAUACAGUGGGCUAAUGACGGUACCUGAAGAAUAAGCACCGGCUAACUACGUGCCAGCAGCCGCGGUAAUACGUAGGGUGCAAGCGUUAAUCGGAAUUACUGGGCGUAAAGCGUGCGCAGGCGGUUAUAUAAGUCAGAUGUGAAAUCCCCGGGCUCAACCUGGGAACUGCAUUUGAGACUGUAUGGCUAGAGUGUGUCAGAGGGGGGUAGAAUUCCACGUGUAGCAGUGAAAUGCGUAGAUAUGUGGAGGAAUACCGAUGGCGAAGGCAGCCCCCUGGGAUAACACUGACGCUCAUGCACGAAAGCGUGGGGAGCAAACAGGAUUAGAUACCCUGGUAGUCCACGCCCUAAACGAUGUCUACUAGUUGUCGGGACUUAAUUGUCUUGGUAACGCAGCUAACGCGUGAAGUGACCGCCUGGGGAAUCGGUCGCAAAGNUUAAAACUUAANGAAUUGACCGGNUGAGAGNGACGACGACGACGACGAGGAGGAGG
rnacentral:rRNA from 1 species